rnacentral:piRNA from 1 species
UUACACAUUACCAACUCCUGCUGCA